rnacentral:rRNA from 1 species
UACGAAGGGGGCUAGCGUUGCUCGGAAUCACUGGGCGUAAAGCGCACGUAGGCGGCUUUUUAAGUCAGGGGUGAAAUCCUGGAGCUCAACUCCAGAACUGCCUUUGAUACUGAGAAGCUUGAGUCCGGGAGAGGUGAGUGGAACUGCGAGUGUAGAGGUGAAAUUCGUAGAUAUUCGCAAGAACACCAGUGGCGAAGGCGGCUCGCUGGGACGUGACUGACGCUGAGACGCGAAAGCGUGGG